UACGUAGGGUGCAAGCGUUGUCCGGAAUUAUUGGGCGUAAAGAGCUCGUAGGCGGUUUGUCGCGUCUGCUGUGAAAAUCCAGGGCUUAACCCUGGACCUGCAGUGGGUACGGGCAGACUAGAGUGCGGUAGGGGAGACUGGAAUUCCUGGUGUAGCGGUGGAAUGCGCAGAUAUCAGGAGGAACACCGGUGGCGAAGGCGGGUCUCUGGGGCAGUAACUGACGCUGAGGAGCGAAAGCGUGGGGAGCGAACAGG
rnacentral:rRNA from 1 species